rnacentral:lncRNA from 1 species
AUGAAGCUUCAUGCACUAAGCCAGCUUAGUAUGUCCAUGGCUGGGAGUAGAGACUUGGCACUUAAACUACAUGGGAUAGAAGAGCCAGAGAGACUAAAGAGCCAAGAGGAGGUGGAGCAGAUGCCCAUCAGACACCUGUUGCACCACCUCACCUCUAGGCCUCCCCUCUCGUCUCCACCAUCACUGAAGCUGGAGCACUCCUGCAGGCGCAGUAGGGUGGCACACACUGCAUGCUUGUUCCCUGGGCCUCUCACCUCCUCCACAGCUUCUCUGUGGUCUUUGGUUGGGUUCUCCCAGAAGCGGACUUUGAAAUAAAGAUUGGAAUACUGAGAGGGGUGUAGGGGAGUGAGAUGGGGUGAGAAGAAAGCCCAUAAAUGGUCUGACAAUGAGCAGGUGAUUGUGGUGGUGACUGAGGUUCGACCACUGGAAGCCUCUGGAAUAAUGGACAGCACAGGCUUCAUCAUUGGUUCACACAAGCAUAGAGACACUGGCUUAUUUAGCCAUGGACUCUCAGCUCUCCACUCUCCAUGAUGUUAACUCUCUGGGGAGAGCUAUAAGUGUGCUCCCCUAGAAAGCCAGGUGCACUGAGGGGCAUGGCAGGGCCUGACCAGAGGGCAACGGGAGCCCUGGGUCUUCUCAGCGCCCCACUCAGGGCCCAUGCAUGCAGCCAGGAGGCACUAAGAACCCAUGCAGUAAACCUGGUAGCCAGGUCCUGGUGGGGAGACAAAAGCUGGGAGAUAAAUUCUCCCUUUCUCCCCACUGUCAGGGUCAACUGAGAGGCAUCUUGUAUCUCUUCCAGGAAAAUGGCCUCAGGAGGUGAAGCAACUUCCAGAAGGCUGGCUCUGCAGCCCAACCUCACCUCACCCUUCCUCCUCCCUGUCUCACCUCCCUCUGCCCUCAGUCCCGCUCCAGGCAUUAUGUUCUUCCAGUAAACCUGGGCUUUGGGGGAAGCCAGGCUCACACUGCAGGGUUAAUUUCAUAUUAAUUCCAGUCUUCAUCACUCUACUAACCUCACAGAGACUCAAUUUUACUAAGAGUGCCAAGAGCCAUGAUGAGGAAUAUCUAUUCCCUAUUUAAGAAUGUAAGACCCUCUAAGUCAUCCAGGAAGUAUUAGACUAGGAAAAGUAUUAGAUCCCAGUAUGUGCGUGUCCCUAGAAUGGGAAAUACAGCUCCUGGAUAAAAUGGUCCACAAAUGCAAGGCCUCCAGCCCCCCAAAUUAAAGAAAGUAGAAUUCAUGGAGAAUCUGAGAGGUUGCAUGUAAUGGCUUCCUGAACUGGACUAGAAGCAGUGUCAGUGCAGCCUAGCCAUUUGAUAUUGUCUACAGAAAGCCUUCCUGGUGGCUCUGAUGGUAAAGAAUCUGCCUGCAAUGUAAGAGACUUGGGUUAGAUCCCUGGAUCAAGAAGAUCCCCUGAAGAAGGGAAUGGCUACCCACUCUAGUAUUCUUGCCUGGAGAAUCCCAUGGAGAGUGGAGCCUGGUGGGCUACAGUCCAUGGGGUCGCAAAGAGUCAGACACGACUGAGCCACUUCCACGGCAAUCCUGGGCCACCCCUGCCACUAACCAGUGGAAAACAAGGAUCACAUGAUGAAAAGUGGUCCUUAACCAAAAAUAUCAUAAUGAAGCAGACAAGCAGUUAACUUGAAGUGUUUCAUGACUGAUUCCAGUUUUUGAGAUUUUAAACACAUUCUGAAAGAAAAAAAAAUAAGUGUCUUCUUCUAUCCGGUAAGGCAAUAGCCAUCAGGACACAUGAUUGUCCUGUGUCUGCCACACUGAAGCAGCCAUCGCUGUAGUCCUCUCACGGGUCCUGGCACCGACAUGUUGCUCCCAGUCCCAGGCGGCUUCCACCCCCGCUGGGGAUUUCCUGGAAAUACUCUGCAGAAUGAAUAAUACAUUGUUUUGUUUCUGUGAGGACACUUGUCACUGUUUCACUUGCCAAAGUGCAGAUGAAUAUUCAGCAAGGACUGUGGCCUCCCCUGCCUGCCAUGAAUGGGCAGGGGCAGCCGUGACCCACGUGAUGUGAUUUCAGAAUGCUCCCCCUGCCCGGAAUCCACCACAGGAAGCCGCCAGAAACCCACGGAAGGGGAAAUAGCCAGUAUGGAGCCCUAUGCCCUGCGAUCUGCAGUAGAGCCUUUCUGUAGUGUCACUGGGGUGGGCAGUUUCUCCAGAAGGCUCAGAGACCAAAAACUUUAGGCUCUGUGGUCCACACCCUCUGUCUGGAGCUUCUAACCUCGCCACUGUAGUGCCACAGCAGCCACAGGUAAUACAUACACGAAGGGGCACAGCUGUGUUCUCCUGAAAUUUUAUUUGCCAAAACAGAAUCUGGUCAGCAGGCCAGAGUUUUCUGUCCCCUGGGCUAGCUUAUGUCACAUUCAGGACUCACGUGUGGCAGGUGCCAUCCUCCUGGAGGAGUUUCUCACGUGCUGUCAGUCUUGAGAGAAAUUACUCAGCAAAUCGCAAAUGUUAGAUUUAUCAUCCACUCUUCUGGAGAUGAGAUGAGGAGCUCUCCAGAAUAAAUGCAAAGUACCAGGAGAGGGGGCA